rnacentral:rRNA from 1 species
GAUGAACGCUAGCGGCAGGCUUAACACAUGCAAGUCGAGGGGUAUAUAGUUUUCGGAUUAUAGAGACCGGCAAACGGGUGCGGAACACGUACGCAAUCUGCCUCUGUCUUGGGGAUAGCCCAUAGAAAUGUGGAUUAAUACCCAAUAGUAUUAUAGAGUGGCAUCACUUAGUAAUUAAAAGAUUUAUUGGACAGAGAUGAGCGUGCGUCCCAUUAGCUAGUUGGUGCGGUAACGGCGUACCAAGGCGACGAUGGGUAGCUGGUGUGAGAGGCACGACCAGCCACACGGGCACUGAGACACGGGCCCGACUCCUACGGGAGGCAGCAGUGAGGAAUAUUGGUCAAUGGGCGGAAGCCUGAACCAGCCAUGCCGCGUGAAGGAUGAAGGCGUUCUGCGUUGUAAACUUCUUUAUUUGGGAAGGAAAAAUUGUGGUUUCUACUUGCACCGACGGUACCAGAUGAAUAAG